rnacentral:rRNA from 1 species
AUACGGAGGGGGUUAGCGUUGUUCGGAAUUACUGGGCGUAAAGCGCACGUAGGCGGACUGGAAAGUUGGGGGUGAAAUCCCAGGGCUCAACCCUGGAACUGCCUCCAAAACUAACAGUCUAGAGUUCGAGAGAGGUGAGUGGAAUUCCAAGUGUAGAGGUGAAAUUCGUAGAUAUUUGGAGGAACACCAGUGGCGAAGGCGGCUCACUGGCUCGAUACUGACGCUGAGGUGCGAAAGCGUGGGGAGCAAACAGGAUUUGAUACCCCGGUAGUCC